CUACUGCAUAAUAUUAUGUUCCCUUCCUUUCAGUUGCUCCUCUUACCAAUUCCAAGAUAGAAACAAUAAAGUUUCUCACUCAUUUUAUCUCUUCAUCUGACAUUAAACUCCUAGCCCCCCUUCACUUCCUUUGUUUUCUUUUUUUAAACUAUAACUGACAAAGUUAAACAUUCGCUUCCUGUUUCCAUGUAGGACAGAGGUGUUAGGAACAUUUCUUGGUAAAACAAAUUUUCAACAGCAGCUUCAGCUUUUGUUAACUUUGUCACAAGCUAAAACAAACCAAACAUAAAAAAUAAAAUAAAACAACCACUUUAUUAAACUGAAUUGAAAAUUUCCAACGAAAACGCAAAAGCAGCGAGCAUGAUGCGUGUGUUGGCUUUUUCAUUGUCUCUUCUGAGGUCUAAACUCUCCCCUCUACACUACUCUAGAGCUCAGUAUCAGUGACUUACAAUAUUGUCUUUUGUAAAGGAAAGAUGUACGCUUUAGCUCUCACACCUUGCAUACACUGUUCUUUCUUUCCAUCACUUUUUACUGGUCUAUGACGUAAUAAUCCCGAGCCUUGACUAAAUUCUGAGAUGAUUGAAGCUCAAUCUCAUCCACUCUGUGCACAUUAGUUUAGGUUACUUUAUUUCCUGGAUUCCUAAAAAAUCUUUGGACAGGAGAAAGCAAGACCAAAACGGGCUACAAAUUCUGUAUUCUUUCAUCCUGAACCUCACAAAACCUGGCACACACAGCUUCUUACCACGGAUCUUUUCAACUCAGAUAGAGAAAGGUGCACAGAACCUGACAAGAACGUCUUGGAGGCAACGUUUGCAUCCACCAGAGAUGGCAAGGAAGCAGUAGGAAGAACUCAUGAACUGCGCUAAGUAUUUAUUUGGCGUAGGCUGAUCAUUAAAACUAUCAAGAGCCAGCUAAUAAAUUAUGAAGUCUUUUUUAGAAAUUUCUGCUCUUAGGAAGUCCCUGUUUUUUAGAUGACAAAAUAAUUGUGGGAAAAAUAUCUUACUUCCAGUAACAGGAAGGGUAUGAGGCUCUGCUUUUCCAGAUUGCUGCCUGUGUAAAGGUCCCCUGGACUGCAUGAGCAGAUGUCCCCGGCACUGGGCCUGCUUGCUCUGACAGAGUUGAAAGG
rnacentral:lncRNA from 1 species